CCCACGGCGUGGGGGAGGCUCAGGCGUGGCGGGCUGCGGGUCCCGAGCCCUGCCCCGCGGGGAGGCAGCUGAGGCCAGGUGAGAAUUUGAGCGCCUGCCGGCACUGCUGGGGGACCCGACGCACCCUCCGCAGCUGCCGGCCCGGGUGCUAAGCCUUACUUCACUGCCCCGGGCGGGCGGCUCCGCCGGCUGCUCUGAGUGCUGGGCCGCGGAGCCCACGCCCACCCGGAACUCGCGCUGGCCCGGAAGCGCCGCGCGCGGCCUCGGUUCCCGCCCGCGCCUCUCCCUCCACACCUCCCCGCAACUGAGGGAGCCGGCUCCGGCCUCGGCCAGCCCAGAAAGGGGCUCCCACAGUGCAGGGCCGGGCUGAAGGGCUCCUUAAGGGUGGCCAGAGUUGGCGCCAAGGCUGAGGAGGUGCCCAGAGCGAGCGAGGGCUGCCAGGGCUGCUAGCAGGCUGUCACCUCUCAAUAGCAGUUUUGUGUAUGGGAUCUAGCCCCUCCCUAAGAGGUUGAUUCUAAGGAAGCCAACAGCCGUGUUGUGAGUACCCAAUGGAAAGUCUGUUGUGGCAGAAAACUGAUGUCUCCAGCCAACAGCACUGAGGCCCUGAGACCUGCCAACUGUCAUGCUGGAGUGCUGGAGUGCAACUCGAACAGCCUCAAUCUCCUGGGCUCAAGCAGUCCUCUCACUUCAGCCUCCAGAAUUGCUAGGAUUACAGGCAAGAGCCACGACACCUGGCCAAGGUUACAUCUCAAGGAGAAGGAUUGCCAGAUCAAAAGUCUUGCAGUUAACCAGGCGUGGUGGCAGAUACCUGUAAUCCCAGCUAUUCGGGAGGCUGAGGCAGGAGAAUCGCUUGUACCCGGGAGGCAGAGGUUGCAGUGAGCUGAGACCGCGCCAUUGACUCCUGCCUGAUGACAAGAGAGAAUCUACGUCUCAACAACAACAACACGCUUGGGCACUGUAUUAACUCCGUAAUCGGUUUAUUCAUAAUGCUGCAUCAUCCAACCAUCAUCCAACCUAUUUAUCAUUCACAAUGCCACCUGUGAAUACUGGCUUCCGUUGACUCUUUCAAGAAUUGCUACUGGGCCUCACCAAUGUUGACCACAAAUGCAAGUCAUACUGAGAGUAUGUAGUACAUGUGAAUAAUAAUUAGUUUUCUUGUCAUAUUAAACAUAUCAUUCAUACUAGUAUGAACAUAGAGAAAUCCUUCGAUUGUAUCUUUUCGUGAGCUCUUUAUUUACUGUUUUCCUAUAUAGAAUGUGGUCUUUUUAAAUGUUUGUCUUAUCCCUGCCUUUCACAAACUAACACCAGUUGGGAAGAUAGGCAAGAGUCCCCUGGAAGAGUAGGAAGAGUUGCCUUAUUUGCGCAAGGAUUGUCUGAUGUGUAUUUGACAUGACAUAAGACUAACCGAGAAGAGCACUCCUGAUAGUAUUGAUUAGAGGCAACAGAGAACACUAAUAAAAGAACCAGUUGGCAUUGUAGGGAAGGCAAGUGUGGCUAUUCCAACAAUGCUGACAGAUAUGUGGCUUGGAGCCUACAGAGUGGGUGAGGUGAUCACCUUGAAUUCCUGUGGCAGAGGAUGAACAGGGUAAUGGAAUGUUUACCACCAUUCCUCUCAUCUUUGUCGCUGUAAACCAGAAGAAACACUGUAGUCAAAAUGCAUAUUGGUGAGGAAGAACUGUUUACAACACGGGAGUCUUAAGGAAAUUCAGCGACUAGAGGUUGACAGUUGGGUAGGGACCUGCACAUGUAACCAGCAGGUGCUUUUGAAAUAAGAAGAUUUUAGACUACAAUUUGGGAAGUACUGUUCUUUUAGAGCUUAAUGUAUUAUAAUUUUCAAAAUUUUCUUUCUAUAAGUUUUAUUCACCUGAAUUUCUCACUCGAAGUCAAUUUACAUUCAAUCAUAAUGGACAAUAAAAUUGAUAAAAUGUUUCCCCUUACAUUUAUAGGUUAUGUUACAAUGAACAGAACAUCUUGCUUUAUUUUCCAUUCUUGAAUCAUUUUCUUAGAUUAUAUUCCAAGGGAAAUGAUUUCUGGAUCAAAACACUUCAGCAUUGUGUUGGAUCUUGAUCACUUUGUCAUUUUUAAAAUUUUGACUUCUUAUAGCUGAUUGAUCCUGCAGAUAUAGGUGGACAUAGAAGAUCAAAGGGAACCUCAAAUGGGAGAGACUGGGUCUGGAGGUCCAUGUGUGUCCCAGGCUCAUGAUGUUCUACCUAGAUGGCACUGCUGGCCUCAGCCAUUCCAAGUUACCAAAGCCAGACCUGGAAAAUUUCAAGGAAGACAUUUCAUAAUGUGAACUGCCUUUAGGCAUAGGUCAGGAAGGUAUUGUCCUACGUACAAAAAUUCAUUCCAGCUCACAAAAUAACUCGCUUUAGGAAACUAAGUAUAUUUUCUUCCGUCUCUGAGCUAUAGUUUUCUUAAAUAUAGGUCACGAAGAAUAAAAUAUGUUUCUCACAAUUGUUGGGAAGGUUAAAAUGAAAUAAUGUAUUUGAAGGCAUCCUGUGUAUAGAAUAUUUUAUAUAUUCAAAAUGUUAAUUUUCUUUCUUCCUAAAGGGUCAAAUUCUUCACUUUUCAAAAGUUUUUUUAAAAAGCUUUUUAAUAUAUGAAAAAUACUUUUUGAAGAAAUUUUUGAAGGGAAAAAUUUCUGCCUCUGACUUUCUCUAUUUUAUUCUCUUUUCCUAUUGUUUCACCGUGCCUUAUAUUCUUUCUCCAUUCUUCUCAAAAUGUGUUCCUCAGGAAUAUGCUGAAUUAUUCUCAUACAAGUAUGAAUCCAUAUCACUAUAAUUCAUUUCCUAGUAAUUUAUUCAUUAUGGUAAAUAAGUAUUUAUUGAGUACUCCUUUCCCAGAUGUUAAGAUAGAUAUUGAGUAUCAAAUGGUAACAGGGCCAGCUUCAUGUGUGUGCAUGACCUGGGCAGUCCUGUUCCCAGAAGCCAGCUUUGCUUGGUUCAAUACUCUGCCAUUCCCAUCUUGAAAUUCUUACAACUUUGCAUAAGGGAUUCAUACUUUGCUUUCCACUGGAUGUCACAGAUUAUAUAGCCUGGCCUGGGUGCUGAAUCCAUAAGUCACACUUCCUGUCCUCAAUAAGUUUAUGUGAAACAUAUGCAUUUAAAAUAAUAAGCCACCAA